rnacentral:rRNA from 1 species
UCGGUGACAGGUGGUGCAUGGUUGUCGUCAGCUCGUGUCGUGAGAUGUUGGGUUAAGUCCCGCAACGAGCGCAACCCCUAUUGUUAGUUGCCAUCAUUCAGUUGGGCACUCUAGCGAGACUGCCGGUAAUAAACCGGAGGAAGUGGGGAUGACGUCAAAUCAUCAUGCCCCUUAUGACCUGGGCUACACACGUGCUACAAUGGUUGGUACAACGAGUUGCGAGUCGGUGACGGCGAGCUAAUCUCUUAAAGCCAAUCUCAGUUCGGAUUGUAGGCUGCAACUCGCCUACAUGAAGUCGGAAUCGCUAGUAAUCGCGGAUCAGCACGCCGCGGUGAAUACGUUCCCGGGCCUU